CGUGUGCUCUUUCUCUCUCUCUCACUCUCCCCCGCCCCCCACCGUGCGCUCCCUCACUCUCUCCUCUUCGAAUCUUUGGGUUGGCGUGCCCUCACGCUUCGAGGAUGCAUUCUCCUGCUAACUUCUAAAUAAAAUAGAGCUGUAACAGUGAUUUGCCUAAGAGCUAUAACAUGGUUUGUCCAAGACCCGAGAGCUGUGAUGUGCCGAGGGCUUUAAUGUCUGUCGCUCCCAAUCUUUGUUGUGACGAGACAAAGAACUGAGGAACAUACACUCGCGUGACAUCUAUGGUGCCGUGACUCGGAUUUAACCUGGCUGAAACAACCUCCGCGUGGAAGAGGCCAAGCAUAGCAGGAUCCCAACUCAGUGAAGCUCCCGCGCUAGAAGCAGAAGGUGAAGAAACCCAGCGCAGGGGAAGGCCCAUCGUGCUGGAAACCGGGACAGCAAAAAACAAACUCAGCAGAAAGCUCAUGUGGCCCAGUCUCAGAUUCCAGAAGACCUCCAGUUAAGGUCAUCCAGAGGACCCAAGACAUGGUGGUUACUAGUGGACUUCCCACAGUACUUCUUCAUUCCAUGUGGACUCCUUCAAGGGCAGUGAGCAUCACAGCUUCCCUUGAAGUUCGUCUGGAAAAGCAAAUGCUGUUCAAGGACACUGAAAGAACCCUGAUGUUGAAAAUCAAAUCUGUAUUGUGAGCAAUGCUUAGAAAUCCAUGAGUUGACGCAUAGUAUUAUGCCUAUCAUCCUUGUAUUUCCCUCAGUGAAAUAUUUUGAGAAAAGCUCUUCAUUCAUGGUGCAGAUUCAUGAAGAAGCUAAACAGCAUUAAUCGUUUACACUGACAACUGUGAAUUUAAAUUUCCUGUGAAUCCUAUGUGAGAACCACACAUACCAACAUGAUUUAUUAGUAUUAUAU